AUUGAACGCUGGCGGCAGGCUUAACACAUGCAAGUCGAACGAGUGGUGGACGGGUGAGUAAUGCUUGGGAAUCUAGCUUAUGGAGGGGGAUAACUACGGGAAACUGUAGCUAAUACCGCGUACCAUAGGAUGAGCCCAAGUGGGAUUAGGUAGUUGGUGAGGUAAAGGCUCACCAAGCCGACGAUCUCUAGCUGGUCUGAGAGGAUGACCGCCCACGCUGGGACUGGGACACGGCCCAUGCGCCUAAGGGAGGCAGCAGUGGGGAAUAUUGCGCAAUGGGGGCAACCUGACGCAGCGAUGCCGCGUGAAGGAAGAAGGCCUUCGGGUUGUAAAGUUCUUUCGGUAGCGGGGCGUUAACUACAGAAGAAGCACCGGCUAACUCCGUGCCAGCAGCCGCGGUAAUAC
rnacentral:rRNA from 1 species